GGCAAGCUGGCGGCGUGUCGUAUACAUGCAGUCCAGCGGACUCCUUCGGGAGUGAGCGGCGGACGGGUGAGGAACACGUGGGCAAUCUGCCCAUUGGACUGGAAUAACGCCUGGAAACGGGUGCUAAGGCCAGAUAGGCACAGAAGAGGCCUCUCUUUUGUGGGAAAGAUGCUAUGGCAUCGCCAGUGGAGGAGCCCGCGGCGCAUUAGCUAGUUGGAGGGGUAACGGCCCACCAAGACGACGAUGCGUAGCCGACCUGAGAGGGUGAACGGCCACACUGGGACUGAGACACGGCCCAGACUCCUACGGGAGGCAGCAGUAGGGAAUCUUCCGCAAUGGGCGCAAGCCUGACGGAGCAACGCCGCGUAAGCGAAGAAGGCCUUCGGGUUGUAAAGCUUAGUCACUCGGGAAGAGCGGGUGGGAGAGGGAAUGCUCCCACCGAGACGGUACCGGGAGAGGGAAGCCCCGGCAAACUACGUGCCAGCAGCCGCGGUAAU
rnacentral:rRNA from 1 species